rnacentral:rRNA from 1 species
UUGAAAGGGAAACGAUUGAAGUCAGUCGUACUUCGGGUAAUCAGCCUUUCGGGUGCGAUUCUGUGAGGUGUGAGGAGUUAAACGCCUUCAUGUUUUGCAUAUUCGUGCUCUUGGGUGUACUUGCCCGUGUGGUUGGUUAACAUCAAUUUUGGACGCCAUAAAAUAACUGGAGGAAUGUGGCUUCGAUCUCGUAUUGAAGUGUUAUAGCCUUCGGUAGAUGUGGUUUUCGAGAUUGAGGAUUGCAACGGAUACCCUUCGGGGCUACUUAUCUGAUCUCUGAUCGUUGCUCUGGUGCCGAAAGCUUGCUUACGGUUAUCAAAGUCGAUGGUCAAUAGGUUAGAAUAGGUUAAAUUCGUUAAGGAUGUUGACGUA